GACGAACGCUGGCGGCGUGCCUAAUACAUGCAAGUCGAACGCUGACGGAGGAGCUUGCUUCUCUGGCUGAUUUCCGAACGGGUGAGUAACGCGUAGGUAACCUGCCUUGUAUCUGGGGGUAACUUUUGGUAACGAUAGCUACUACCGCAUAACAGUAGAUGUUGCAUGACAUUUGCUUAAACUUUGCACUUGCAUCGCUACCAGAUGCACCUGCGUUGUAUUAGCUAGUUGGCGAGGUAAAGGCUCACCAAGGCGACGAUCCGUAGCCGGUCUGAGAGGGGGAUCAGCCAAACUGGAACUGAGACACGGUCCAGACUCCUACGGGAGGCAGCAGUGGGGAAUAUUGGACAAUGGGCGCAAGCCUGAUCCAGCCAUACCGCGUGGGUGAAGAAGGCCUUCGGGUUGUAAAGCCCUUUUGUUGGGAAAGAAAAGCAGCAGGUUAAUACCCCGCUGUUCUGACGGUACCCAAAGAAUAAGCACCGGCUAACUUCGUG
rnacentral:rRNA from 1 species